UUUUAUUAAUUAUAUGUCAAUUUUUGUGUCAAAAUUUCUUGUACUAUUUAUGUCAAAAAAAAUUGGCGGGAAAUUAUUUGUUGGAAUUUUUUUGGCGGAAAAUAUUUUGGCGGAAAAUUUUUGUCAAAAAUAUUUGUGGGAGAAACUUUUUGUGGGAAAAUUUUGAAGGGAAUAAUUUUUACUAGAAUUUUUUUGGAAGGAAAACCGUUAACCCUAAACUCUAAACGCUAAACCCUAAACCCUAAACCCCAAACUCUAAGAGCUUUGUCGUUCUAGAGCUAUUGGUUGAUUUCUCUUUUUUU
rnacentral:lncRNA from 1 species